CACACCGCCCGUCACACCAUGGGAGUUUGUUGCACCAGAAGCAGGUAGCCUAACCGCAAGGGGGGCGCUUGCCACGGUGUGGCCGAUGACUGGGUG
rnacentral:rRNA from 1 species